rnacentral:rRNA from 1 species
UGGGGAAUCUUGGACAAUGGGGGCAACCCUGAUCCAGCCAUGCCGCGUGAGUGAUGAAGCCUUAGGGUCGUAAAGCUCUUUCGCCUGUGAAGAUAAUGACGGUAGCAGGUAAAGAAACCCCGGCUAACUCCGUGCCAGCAGCCGCGGUAAUACGGAGGGGGUUAGCGUUGUUCGGAAUUACUGGGCGUAAAGCGCACGUAGGCGGACCAGAAAGUUGGGGGUGAAAUCCCGGGGGCUCAACCCCGGAACUGCCUCCAAAACUAUUGGUCUAGAGUUCGAGAGAGGUGAGUGGAAUUCCAAGUGUAGAGGUGAAAUUCGUAGAUAUUUGGAGGAACACCAGUGGCGAAGGCGGCUCACUGGCUCGAUACUGACGCUGAGGUGCGAAAGUGUGGGGAGCAAACAGGAUUAGAUACCCUGGUAGUCCACACCGUAAAACGAUGAAUGCCAGUCGUCGGGUAGCAUGCUAUUCGGUGACACACCUAACGGAUUAAGCAUUCCGCCUGGGGAGUACGGUCGCAAGAUUAAAA